rnacentral:miRNA from 1 species
UCUUUCCCACCUCUGCCACCCUCACCCCCAAGUGGCCUAGGACAGGACUGGGCUGCCCUUAGCCUGGGUUCGGCUGGCUGGCGGG